rnacentral:tRNA from 1 species
CACUGAGCGGUAUAAUGGUUAACAUGUUUGGCUGCUAACCAAAAGGUUGGAGGUUUGAGUCCACCCACAGUUG